rnacentral:rRNA from 3 species
UUAAAUUGAAGAGUUUGAUCAUGGCUCAGAUUGAACGCUGGCGGCAGGCCUAACACAUGCAAGUCGAGCGGUAGCACAGAGAGCUUGCUCUCGGGUGACGAGCGGCGGACGGGUGAGUAAUGUCUGGGAAACUGCCUGAUGGAGGGGGAUAACUACUGGAAACGGUAGCUAAUACCGCAUAACGUC